CUAUAGUUCAGCGGUAGAGCGCCAGAUUGUGGAUCUGGUUGUCGUCGGUUCGAUCCCGACUA
rnacentral:tRNA from 1 species